rnacentral:rRNA from 1 species
UACGAAGGGUGCAAGCGUUACUCGGAAUUACUGGGCGUAAAGCGUGCGUAGGUGGUGAGUUAAGUCUGUCGUGAAAGCCCCGGGCUCAACCUGGGAAUGGCGAUGGAUACUGGCUCGCUAGAGUGCGGUAGAGGAGAGUGGAAUUCCCGGUGUAGCAGUGAAAUGCGUAGAUAUCAGGAGGAACACCGGUGGCGAAGGCGGCUCUCUGGACGGUGACUGACGCUGAGACGCGAAAGCGUGGGGAGCAAACAGG